CAAAUUUGGCAAGGCUGCUGAUCCACUCGUCCUUCUGGGCACCCUGGUAGAUGCUGAUGCCUCCACACAAGGCUGUAACAUCUGGGGUUUUGAUAAAAUCACCCGUGAGAUUAGGAAUUGAAGACCCAGUAUUGUGUAAAGAAGAAGAAAUUGAAGAAGGGUUACAAAGAUUCUUAUUGAAUGUACCCCACAAACCCACUAUGGGAUUGGCGCCGCUUUUCACUCUGCAUCCUUGUAGAAUAAAGCGUAGGGCCAUUUUGG
rnacentral:lncRNA from 1 species